CCUACGGGGAGCAGCAGUCGAGAAUCAUUCACAAUGGGGGAAACCCUGAUGGUGCGACGCCGCGUGGGGGAAUGAAGGUCUUCGGAUUGUAAACCCCUGUCAUGUGGGAGCAAAUUAAAAAGAUAGUACCACAAGAGGAAGAGACGGCUAACUCUGUGCCAGCAGCCGCGGUAAUACAGAGGUCUCAAGCGUUGUUCGGAAUCACUGGGCGUAAAGCGUGCGUAGGCUGUUUCGUAAGUCGUGUGUGAAAGGCGCGGGCCCAACCCGCGGACGGCACAUGAUACUGCGAGAAUAGAGUAAUGGAGGGGGAACCGGAAUUCUCGGUGUAGCAGUGAAAUGCGUAGAUAUCGAGAGGAACACUCGUGGCGAAGGCGGGUUCCUGGACAUUAACUGACGCUGAGGCACGAAGGCCAGGGGAGCGAAAGGGAUUAGAUACCCGGGUAGUC
rnacentral:rRNA from 1 species